UGAGCCUGCGUUAGAUUAGCUAGUUGGUGGGGUAAAGGCCUACCAAGGCGACGAUCUAUAGCUGGUCUGAGAGGACGAUCAGCCACACUGGGACUGAGACACGGCCCAGACUCCUACGGGAGGCAGCAGUGGGGAAUAUUGGACAAUGGGCGGAAGCCUGAUCCAGCAAUACCGCGUGUGUGAAGAAGGCCUUAGGGUUGUAAAGCACUUUCAAUUGGGAGGAAAACCUGCCGGUCAAUACCCGGUAGCUUGACAUUACCUUUAGAAGAAGCACCGGCUAACUCCGUGCCAGCAGCCGCGGUAAUACGGAGGGUGCGAGCGUUAAUCGGAAUUACUGGGCGUAAAGCGUGCGUAGGCGGUUCGUUAAGUCAGAUGUGAAAGCCCUGGGCUCAACCUGGGAACGGCAUUUGAAACUGGCGGACUAGAGUUUAGUAGAGGGGAGUGGAAUUUCAGGUGUAGCGGUGAAAUGCGUAGAUAUCUGAAGGAACACCAGUGGCGAAGGCGACUCC
rnacentral:rRNA from 1 species